rnacentral:rRNA from 1 species
GAUCCUGCCUCAGGAUGAACGCUAGCUACAGGCUUAACACAUGCAAGUCGAGGGGCAGCAUGACGGAAGCUUGCUUUCGUUGAUGGCGACCGGCGCACGGGUGAGUAACGCGUAUCCAACCUGCCCCUGUCCAUCGGAUAACCCGUCGAAAGGCGGACUAACACGAUAUGCAGUUCACAGCAGGCAUCUAACGUGAACGAAAUGUAAAGGAGAAGGAUGGGGAUGCGU